rnacentral:rRNA from 1 species
UACGUAGGGGGGCUAGCGUUGUCCGGAUUUAUUGGGCGUAAAGAGCGUGUAGGCGGCCAGGUAGGUCUGCUGUGAAAACUCGAGGCUCAACCUCGAGACGUCGGCGGAAGCCAUCUGGCUAGAGUCCGGAAGAGGAGAGUGGAAUUCCUGGUGUAGCGGUGAAAUGCGCAGAUAUCGGGAAGAACACCCGUGGCGAAGGCGGCUCUCUGGGACGGUACUGACGCUGAGACGCGAAAGCGUGGGGAGCGAACAGG